CUACGUUGUAUUAUACCGCAUAACUUUCUACUGGAUGUACUGAUUUUGAUAAUUCUUUUUUUGUUGGAAAGGGGAUAUCCCUAGUUUGGAAUCGAGGGAAACUCUCGAAAAUCCGUAAUAACUUUUUACUGGGUGUACCGAUUUUGAUAAUUUUUAAUUUAAUCGAAAGCUGAUGUUUAUCAUGUGGUCACAUAUAAAUUUCAUCGAGAUCUGAUAACAACUUUUUGAGUAAUCUUUAAUAACGCGUAGUUGCUCGACUAUUUUUUCGUCGAUCUACGUUGUAUUACUUGUCGAUGUAAUUGAAGUCGGU
rnacentral:misc_RNA from 1 species